AAGUGUUACAGCUCUUAGAAUCUGUCUAGCAUGCUUUCUGGCUUUUGCCAGAAAGCCCAU
ensembl:snRNA U7 U7 small nuclear RNA